AACGAACGCUGGCGGCAUGCCUAACACAUGCAAGUCGAACGAGACCUUCGGGUCUAGGGGCGCACGGGGGCGUAACACGUGGGAAGCUGCCCUUUGCUUCGGAAUAACAGUUAGAAAUGACUGCUAAUACCGGAUGAUGUCGAAAGACCAAAGAUUUAUCGGCAAAGGAUGAGCCCGCGUAGGAUUAGGUAGUUGGUGGGGUAAAGGCCUACCAAGCCGACGAUCCUUAGCUGGUCUGAGAGGAUGAUCAGCCACACUGGGACUGAGACACGGCCCAGACUCCUACGGGAGGCAGCAGUGGGGAAUAUUGGACAAUGGGCGAAAGCCUGAUCCAGCAAUGCCGCGUGAGUGAUGAAGGCCUUAGGGUUGUAAAGCUCUUUUACCAGGGAUGAUAAUGACAGUACCUGGAGAAUAAGCUCCGGCUAACUCCGUG
rnacentral:rRNA from 1 species